CUAUCAUUAACUGAAUCCAUAGGUUAAUGAGGCGAACCGGGGGAACUGAAACAUCUAAGUACCCCGAGGAAAAGAAAUCAACCGAGAUUCCCCCAGUAGCGGCGAGCGAACGGGGAGGAGCCCAGAGCCUGAAUCAGUGUGUGUGUUAGUGGAAGCGUCUGGAAAGGCGCGCGAUACAGGGUGACAGCCCCGUACACAAAAAUGCACAUAUUGUGAGCUCGAUGAGUAGGGCGGGACACGUGGUAUCCUGUCUGAAUAUGGGGGGACCAUCCUCCAAGGCUAAAUACUCCUGACUGACCGAUAGUGAACCAGUACCGUGAGGGAAAGGCGAAAAGAACCCCGGCGAGGGGAGUGAAAAAGAACCUGAAACCGUGUACG
rnacentral:rRNA from 1 species